rnacentral:tRNA from 1 species
ACCUGGGUGGCUCAGUCAGUUAAGCACCUGAUUUUGGCUCAGGUCGUGAUCUCACAGUCCGUGGGUUUAAACCCCUCCUUGGGCU